GGGGGGGAAGUUUGAGGUAGUUGGACUCUUUUUGGACUCUCCCUCUGGAUACAUCUUGAGUCCCAAUCGACAGACGGAAGAUUUGGCCACCAGAAGCCUGCCACUGUGUCACUCGAGAACCACACUCAGCUCUGCCAGGAGCUGUUUUUAACCACGGAGCCCAGCCGGUCGCAGGACAGAAUGGUGGUCGAGCACAAUGCUAGGGAAGGCACCUCUGCAGAAAGCUUGUCCUUUGGAGCAUCCUGCACACAAGGAGAGAGGCUUUCCCAGCUUCGAUGGUAGAAAAAGAGGACUCGGUAUGACAUGUUCAGUGAGAUAAUGAACGCCUUUGGAACAGCUGAGAUAGAGCUCAGGUCAUGGAUGAUUUCACCCUCCGAAAAACUAGACAUGGACAUGGAGAGCAUCCCAGGUGCAGGAGCAUGCCACAGAGGAGGAGAUACUGUGUAUUAUGAAGGACCAAUCAGAUUAUGUUGAGGCAUCUGGUUAAGCUUCAAGAAAGGCAACUGGAUGUUAGACUCCCUCUGCAGCCAAUGCAGAACAGCCUGCCAGCCAGCAUCACCUUGUUCACAAUCCUCCUCUCCCAAAUAUUCCAUGAGGCGAGUGUGAGGGGAGUUCAGUAUCCCUUCCACUCAACCCCAGGGGAGGGUACAAAGAACAGAAGGUGCCCAUUCCAAGACCUUUGAUGGUUAGGAGUGCAAACAAGCUAACUCGGUUUCUCCCCUCCCCUAGCCCGAGGUUACCUUAAUUUUCUGUGUCUGGUGUGUGCAUAAUAAAAGAAAACAGUU